CAGCAGCCGCGGUAAUACGAGGGGUGCAAGCGUUAUUCGGAUUGAUUGGGUGUAAAGGGUGUGCAGACGGCUUAUUAAGUCACUUGCUAAAUUCUUCGGCCCAACUGAAGGUCUGCAAGUGAUACUGAUGAGCUAGAGGGUGGAAGAGAGAAGUGGAAUUCUCGGAGUAGCGGUAAAAUGCGUAGAUCUCGAGAGGAACACCAAUGGCGAAGGCAGCUUCUUGGUCCAUUCCUGACGUUCAUACACGAAAGCGUGGGGAGCAAACAGGAUUAGAUACCCCCGUAGUCCCUGUCUCUUAUAC
rnacentral:rRNA from 1 species